GAUGAACGCUGGCGGCGUGCCUAAUACAUGCAAGUCGAGCGAAUGGAUUAAGAGCUUGCUCUUAUGAAGUUAGCGGCGGACGGGUGAGUAACACGUGGGUAACCUGCCCAUAAGACUGGGAUAACUCCGGGAAACCGGGGCUAAUACCGGAUAAAAUUUUGAACAGCAAGGUUCGAAAUUGAAAGGCGGCUUCGGCUGUCACUUAUCGAUGGACCCGCGUCGCAUUAGCUAGUUGGUGAGGUAACGGCUCACCAAGGCAACGAUGCGUAGCCGACCUGGGAGGGUGAUCGGCCACACUGGGACUGAGACACGGCCCAGACUCCUACGGGAGGCAGCAGUAGGGAAUCUUCCGCAAUGGACGAAAGUCUGACGGAGCAACGCCGCGUGAGUGAUGAAGGCUUUCGGGUCGUAAAACUCUGUUGUUAGGGAAGAACAAGUGCUAGUUGAAUAAGCUGGCACCUUGACGGUACCUAACCAGAAAGCCACGGCUAACUACGUGCCAGCCGCCGCGGUAA
rnacentral:rRNA from 1 species